GACGAACGCUGGCGGCGUGCCUAAUACAUGCAAGUCGAACGCAGGAAGUCGACGGAACCCUUCGGGGGGAAGUCGACGGAAUGAGCGGCGGACGGGUGAGUAACACGUAAAGAACCUGCCCUCAGGUCUGGGAUAACCACGAGAAAUCGGGGCUAAUACCGGAUGGGUCAUCGGACCGCAUGGUCCGAGGAUGAAAGGCGCUCCGGCGUCGCCUGGGGAUGGCUUUGCGGUGCAUUAGCUAGUUGGUGGGGUAAUGGCCCACCAAGGCGACGAUGCAUAGCCGACCUGAGAGGGGGAUCGGCCACACUGGGACUGAGACACGGCCCAGACCCCUACGGGAGGCAGCAGUAGGGAAUCUUCCACAAUGGACGAAAGUCUGAUGGAGCAACGCCGCGUGAACGAUGAAGGCCUUCGGGUCGUAAAGUUCUGUUGUAAGGGAAGAACAAGUGCCGCAGGCAAUGGCGGCACCUUGACGGUACCUUGCGAGAAAGCCACGGCUAACUACGUGCCAGCCGCCGCAGUAAAAC
rnacentral:rRNA from 1 species